AUGGAAGGUUUGAUUCCUUUUAUUAUUGGCGCCAUCAGCAGAAAGCAAAAUUGUAAUGAGCACGUAGUGAUGAAGCAUUCAGAUAGUUCAAAGCGUUUGCUAUUGGGAUCAGCUAAUAACUCCUUCAAUGGAUCUUUUCGUACAAGAGCCUGCGGAUCUGGAUCUGAUUAUUUUCGUCCCACUUCUGCUCCUGCAGUCACAGCCAACAAUAACCAGCUUCGCAAUCGCAAACACUAG